rnacentral:rRNA from 1 species
CUUUGUGGGGUGACGGCGUGCCUUUUGAAGAAUGAGCCUGCGAGUUAGUGGCAUGUGGCGAGGUUAACCCGGGUGGGGUAGCCGUAGCGAAAGCGAGUCUGAAUAGGGCGUUGAGUCGCGUGUUCUAGACCCGAAGCGGAGUGAUCUAGCCAUGGGCAGGCUGAAGCGUGGGUAAGACUGCGUGGAGGGCCGAACCCACCAACGUUGAAAAGUUGGGGGAUGACCUGUGGUUAGGGGUGAAAGGCCAAUCAAACUCCGUGAUAGCUGGUUCUCCCCGAAAUGCAUUUAGGUGCAGCGUCGUGUGUUUCUUGCCGGAGGUAGAGCACUGGAUGGUCUAGGGGGCCUACAAGCUUACCGAAAUCAGCCAAACUCCGAAUGCCGGUAAGUGAGAGCGCGGCAGUGAGACUGCGGGGGAUAAGCUUCGUAGUCGAGAGGGAAACAGCCCAGAUCACCAGCUAAGGCCCCUAAGCGUGUGCUAAGUGGAAAAGGAUGUGGGGUCGCAUAGACAACCAGGAGGUUGGCUUAGAAGCAGCCAUCCUUGAAAGAGUGCGUAAUAGCUCACUGGUCAAGUGGUUCCGCGCCGACAAUGUAGCGGGGCUCAAGCACACCGCCGAAGCUGUGGCAUUCACGCGUGUACUUCGCAUGGCCCUUUUGGGGGUUGUGUGCAGGUGUGUGGAUGGGUAGGGGAGCGUCGUGCCGGGGGUGAAGCAGCCGAGUGAUCGAGUUGUGGACGCGGUGCGAGUGAGAAUGCAGGCAUGAGUAGCGAAAGAAGGGUGAGAAACCCUUCCGCCGGAUGACCAAGGGUUCCAGGGCCAGGUUAAUCCGCCCUGGGUGAGUCGGGGCCUAAGGCGAGGCCGAGAGGCGUAGUCGAUGGAUAACGGGUUGAUAUUCCCGUACCCGCGAAGGAGCGUCCCUGAUGAACCUCGUUGUGCUAACCAUCCGAGCUUGGUGUGGUCUUCGGACUGUGCUGGGGGAGCGUGGGAACCUGGCGGGUAGUAGUCAAGCGAUGGGGUGACGCAGGAAGGUAGCUGAGCCCGGCCGGUGGUUGUGCCGGGGUAAGCGUGUAGGCCGUGUCGUAGGUAAAUCCGCGGCGCGUGUGGCUGAGACGUGAUGCCGAGCCGAUUCAGGUGAAGUCAGUGAUCCUAUGCUGUCGAGAAAAGCCUCUAGCGAGUUCCGAGCGGCCCGUACCCCAAACCGACACAGGUGGUCAGGUAGAGAAUACCGAGGCGAUCGGGUGAACUGUGGUUAAGGAACUCGGCAAAUUGCCCCCGUAACUUUGGGAGAAGGGGGGCCGGAGACGUGAAGGCACGUGCUGCUGGAGCGUUGUAUGGCCGCAGAGAGCAGGGGGAAGCGACUGUUUACUAAAAACACAGGUCCAUGCGAAGAAGUAAUUCGAUGUAUAUGGACUGACGCCUGCCCGGUGCUGGAACGUUAAGGGGACCUGUUAGUCUUUCGGGGCGAAGCGGAGAACUUAAGCGCCAGUAAACGGCGGUGGUAACUAUAACCAUCCUAAGGUAGCGAAAUUCCUUGUCGGGUAAGUUCCGACCUGCACGAAUGGCGUAACGACUUCCCCACUGUCUCAACCACAGGCCCGGCGAAAUUGCAUUACGAGUAAAGAUGCUCGUUACGCGCGGCAGGACGGAAAGACCCCGGGACCUUUACUAUAGCUUGACAUUGGUAUCCGAAUUUGCUUGUGUAGGAUAGGUGGGAGCCGGUGAAGUGUGCACGCCAGUGCAUGUGGAGGCAAUCUUGAAAUACCACUCUGGUUGGUUUGGGUAUCUAACUUCGGACCGUUAUCCGGUUCAGGGACAGUGUCUGGUGGGUAGUUUAACUGGGGCGGUUGCCUCCUAAAGGGUAACGGAGGCGCCCAAAGGUUCCCUCAGCCUGGUUGGCAAUCAGGUGUUGAGUGUAAGUGCACAAGGGAGCUUGACUGUGAGACUGACGGGUCGAGCAGGGACGAAAGUCGGGACUAGUGAUCCGGCACUGGCGUAUGGAAGCGGUGUCGCUCAACGGAUAAAAGGUACCCCGGGGAUAACAGGCUGAUCUUCCCCAAGAGUCCAUAUCGACGGGAUGGUUUGGCACCUCGAUGUCGGCUCGUCGCAUCCUGGGGCUGUAGCAGGUCCCAAGGGUUGGGCUGUUCGCCCAUUAAAGCGGUACGCGAGCUGGGUUUAGAACGUCGUGAGACAGUUCGGUCCCUAUCCGCCGUGCGCGUAGGAUACUUGAGAAGGGCUGUCCCUAGUACGAGAGGACCGGGACGGACGAACCUCUGGUGUGCCAGUUGUCCCGCCAGGGGCACGGCUGGUUAGCUACGUUCGGAAGGGAUAACCGCUGAAAGCAUCUAAGCGGGAAGCUCGCUUCAAGAUGAGGUAUCCCAUCCACCCUUGUGGUGGGGUAAGGCCCCCAGCUAGACGACUGGGUUGAUAGGCCGGAAAUGUAAGCCCGGUAACGGGUUCAGUUGACCGGUACUAAUAGGCCGAGGACUUGACUA